GCGCCUACGGGGGGCAGCAGUGGGGAAUAUUGCACAAUGGGGGAAACCCUGAUGCAGCGACGCCGCGUGAGUGAAGAAGUAUCUCGGUACGUAAAGCUCUAUCAGCAGGGAAGAAAAAAAGUCUUUGGCUUUGGACGGUACCUGACUAAGAAGCCCCGGCUAACUACGUGCCAGCAGCCGCGGUAAUACGUAUGGGGCAAGCGUUAUCCGGAUUUACUGGGUGUAAAGGGAGCGCAGGCGGCCUGGCAAGCCUGAUGUGAAAUACCGGGGCCCAACCCCGGGGC
rnacentral:rRNA from 1 species